UCUACCUCAUCGUCCCAGCUCAAAAAAAACCAGGGAUGGAUUUACAUAGUAGGGUUAACUACUUCUGAGGGAUAACUAUAGUCUGGAAUAAGAAAGGUCUGUAUAAACAAAUUCUUCCAAGAUUGUACAUACAUGCGAUUCUUUGUGUGUGUGUGUGUGUUCGAUGCACAGCCUUCUUGUCACAGCCUGGAAAACAGAGCGAUCGAUAGACACCACACUACACAAUUACACACACACUAACACACACAGAGCAAUCACACCCCUCUCAAGGCUCUUUCACAGCCCUAGCAUCAAAGCCUGCCAUUUGAAGAAGCCUGCAAGCCUGUGUGGUGCUUCCGUGAUCUCAGCCGCUCUCGGUUUUAUUCUGUAAAGGCUGCAGGGGUUGUGAAAGCACCUGUAAAUACCGGUUCGAGAUCAACCCGACUCUUUAUUUCCUCGAGAUUCCGAACGGGAACAGCGGACUGAUCUCAGAUCAGAAGCCGGGGGUGAAAACGGCAGCGAUAGAGGCGACAGGCACAAAGAAGCAGAGUGGCUGGAAGCAGCUACGGAAGGACACGGAAAUCGUCACGGAUACGAGGGAUGUGAGCGUGGACCCGACGGAUCUCCCGAUCGUCCGCAAGCCUGCGGUCAGACUAGCGAACAGACGAUGGCUCGUUUUCGGCGUGCUCUGUUCCGGGGAUAACGACGAGCAACGAAGCGACAGUGCAACAUAUGACGUGAGUCUCUCUACAGGUCCUUGCCUCUCUCUCUCUCUCUCUCUCUCUCACUCUCUCUCCUCUCCCUGCCAACACUCUCCUUCUACGGUACGUCAGAAUGCGACCUUCCGCUCGAGUCUUGCCAAACGAGGAGCGCUCAUCAGCCAUGCAAAUGAGCGUGCAUCCAUUAGCACUGACAGAUGGCCUGCUGGAGCGCUGCUGAUGGAGGAGAGGAGAGCAGAAGAGACGAGAGGGACCGUUUCUCACCCG
ensembl:lncRNA